rnacentral:tRNA from 1 species
UCCUCGUUAGUUAAAUGGAUAUAACGGACCCCUCCUAAGGGUCAAUUACAAGUUCGAUUCUUGUACGGGGAGCCA